GGGUUGUGAGGUUAAGCGACUAAGCGUACACGGUGGAUGCCCUGGCAGUCAGAGGCGAUGAAGGACGUGCUAAUCUGCGAUAAGCGUCGGUGAGGUGAUAUGAACCGUUAUAACCGGCGAUUUCCGAAUGGGGAAACCCAGUGUGAUUCGUCACACUAUCAUUAACUGAAUCCAUAGGUUAAUGAGGCGAACCGGGGGAACUGAAACAUCUAAGU
rnacentral:rRNA from 1 species